rnacentral:rRNA from 1 species
UACGUAGGGGGCAAGCGUUGUCCGGAAUCAUUGGGCGUAAAGAGCGUGUAGGCGGCUCGAUAAGUCUGCUGUGAAAGUCCAGGCUCAACCCUGGAAGGCCGGUGGAAACUGUCGGGCUAGAGUCCAGAAGAGGCGAGUGGAAUUCCCGGUGUAGCGGUGAAAUGCGCAGAUAUCGGGAGGAACACCAAUGGCGAAGGCAGCUCGCUGGGACGGUACUGACGCUGAGACGCGAAAGCGUGGGGAGCAAACAGG